rnacentral:rRNA from 1 species
UACAGAGGUCUCAAGCGUUGUUCGGAUUCAUUGGGCGUAAAGGGUGCGUAGGCGGCGCGGUAAGUCGGGUGUGAAAUCUCGGAGCUUAACUCCGAAACUGCAUUCGAUACUGCCGUGCUUGAGGACUGGAGAGGAGACUGGAAUUUACGGUGUAGCGGUGAAAUGCGUAGAUAUCGUAAGGAAGACCAGUGGCGAAGGCGGGUCUCUGGACAGUAACUGACGCUGAGGAGCGAAAGCGUGGGGAGCGAACAGG